AGAGUUUGAUCAUGGCUCAGAACGUACGCUGGCGGCACGCCUAACACAUGCAAGUCGAACGAAGUAGCAAUACUUAGUGGCAGACGGGUGAGUAACAUGUGGGUAUCUGCCCUUUGGCCUGGAAUAACACGAGGAAACUUGUGCUAAUACCGGAUAAGUCUUUACGGAGAAAGCUUUAUGCACCAUUGGAUGAGCCUGCACUUGAUUAGUUUGUUGGUGGGGUAAUGGCCUACCAAGACUGUGAUCAAUAGCUGAUUUGAGAGGAUGAUCAGCCACAUUGGGACUGAGACACGGCCCAAACUCCUACGGGAGGCAGCAGUGGGGAAUCUUGCACAAUGGAGGAAACUCUGGUGCAGCGAUGCCGCGUGAGUGAAGAAGGCCCUUGGGUUGUAAAGCUCUUUCGUCGGGGAAGAAAAUGACUGUACCCGAAUAAGAAGGUCCGGCUAACUUCGUGCCAGCAGCCGCGGUAAUACGAAGGGACCUAGCGUAGUUCGGAAUUACUGGGCUUAAAGAGUUCGUAGGUGGUUGAAAAAGUUAGUGGUGAAAUCCCAGAGCUUAACUCUGGAACUGCCAUUAAAACUUUUCAGCUAGAGUAUGAUAGAGGAAAGCAGAAUUUCUAGUGUAGAGGUGAAAUUCGUAGAUAUUAGAAAGAAUACCAAUUGCGAAGGCAGCUUUCUGGAUCAUUACUGACACUGAGGAACGAAAGCAUGGGUAGCGAAGAGGAUUAGAUACCCUCGUAGUCCAUGCCGUAAACGAUGUGUGUUAGACGUUGGAAAUUUAUUUUCAGUGUCGCAGGGAAACCGAUAAACACACCGCCUGGGGAGUACGACCGCAAGGUUAAAACUCAAAUGAAUUGACGGGGACCCGCACAAGUAGUGGAGCAUGUGGUUUAAUUCGAAGAUACGCGCAGAACCUUACCAACACUUGACAUGUUCGUCGCGACUCUAAGAGAUUAGAGUUUUCGGUUCGGCCGGACGAAACACAGGUGCUGCAUGGCUGUCGUCAGCUCGUGUCGUGAGAUGUUGGGUUAAGUCCCGCAACGAGCGCAACCCUCACUUUUAGUUGCCAUCAUUAAGUUGGGCACUCUGAAAGAACUGCCAGUGAUAAGCUGGAGGAAGGUGGGGAUGACGUCAAGUCCUCAUGGCCCUUACGUGUUGGGCUACACACGUGCUACAAUGGUAUCUACAACAGGAAGCAAGACUGCGAAGUUAAGCAAAUCCCUAAAAGAUACCUCAGUUCGGAUUGCACUCUGCAACUCGAGUGCAUGAAGCUGGAAUUACUAGUAAUCGUGGAUCAGCGUGCCACGGUGAAUGCGUUCCCGGGUCUUGUACACACCGCCCGUCACACCAUGGGAGUUGGUUCUACCUUAAGGCAAGGUUUCAAACCCUUGACCACGGUAUAGUCAACCACUGGGGUGAAGUCGUAACAAGGUA
rnacentral:rRNA from 1 species